GACAACAAUGGCUGACACUUAAAUAAGUGCUAUAGAAUUCUGCGGCAGCAAAAGCUGUGCUGCAAUAAGGCACAACUUUUAAAGAAAGAACCACUGUAUCUAGUGGUAGUUAAUACCUCAACAUACUACAAGAUGAAGCUGCCCUUCCAGCGCUAUCUGCUGCAGAAAGAACCAUUCAAACAGUUCAGUCACUCAGCCCUAUCCAGUGGAAAUGAUGCUCUCAAGGUCCUGCUUUACCGCCUCCUGCAAUACCCUGGUGAGAAGUAAUAAGUCUGGCCCCAUGACUUUCACUCACAGAUGGUAUCUAGGCAGGUUAAUUGCACCUGUAGGCCUGUUUGAGGGACAACUGGACAGCACAUUUUAGAAUGCUUGGACCUCAGCUGAGACCCUCUUCUCCUUCCUUGUCCUUCAAGGACAGUCCCUUCUUCUUCUACACUUGCUGUUAGGCAUGAUGCCCUCAAAGUAUGUCACUCUCAUGUUGUGUGGUAUUACCUAUAGAAGACUCCAAGACACUUUCAAAUUGUUUGCCUGUGAAUGGUUGUCCACAUCAGCCUAUUUACCUUUUUAAAUACUGCGUCCCUCACAGAAUUUGAAUGAUCCCUCAACUGCCCCAUGCUCUCUUUCUCUCCAGAUCAGGGGAAGUUGCUUUGCUUUUGACAAAGCCCUCAUCCUACAUUCUGUUCAACUGCUUUUUGAUUCAGUUUGUUUAAUUCAAUGAUAAAACAUUUUUUUACAGAAAGUUGACAAGGCAAUUGUAUGGAUGGAUGUUGGCAUAGGAGACGAAAGUGGAUAGAUGGGUGUAGAUGGGUUUGGUUGAAGAAACUCCCUCUGCCUCUAGCUCCUGUAUUCAAAACUUGCCAAAUACAUUCACCAUCCACUUCAGCUAGUAUCACCUGUUGUUAGGCCUGUUUUAAAAUCUUAAGGUCAAGCACUUUGGAUGAAGUGUGAAAAUGUGAUGUAGGCUGCGUUGUCAUGUUUAUGAAUGUGUUGGUAGUGUCUGAACAAUCACGUAUCCAAUGAAGAGUUUCUUAAAUCUGACCAGGUUUGAAGUUACUGAUUUUUCAGCCAGUAGUCGGCAGUAAUGUGCUACCCACCUCAGGAACCUUGAUUGACCUGGUCCAGUUCAAAUAGUGACUAGAGGCCCAACCUUUGUUCUUUGGGGGUAGUUAACCUUAACCUCAAAUGCAGGUGAAUCCUGUAGGCCACUAACAAUCAUGCGCAAUAUAGUAUAACCUAUAAAAAGAACUGUACGUACACUGUCUCACUGGGUCUUUUCCAAAGAAGUCUAAUGUGAGAGGUUUGCUGUGGCUCUGCAUGAUUAUGGAUUAGAGUAAAAGAGAUUCAUAGCCAAAGGCCCGAACCUACUGGCCUGGCUGACGCCUAAUUCAAAGUCCUCCUGACUUCAGGGUCUGGAAAGGCCCCCCCGCCGAAUGAAUCAAUCAAUGAGUGAAUCAAUCGAAUGAAUCAAUCAAUGAGUCCACACAAUUUCUGAGUGAAUAUUGUAUUAACAAAACUGCCUCCUGUCCUGUUAAUUCACUAGCAAAUUAAUAUUAGAUUUGAGCAGAAACUCUUAUCCAGAGCAACUAGGGUUACAUGUCUUUCUCAGGGGCACAUCAACAGAUUUGUCACCUAGUCGCCUUGGGGAUUCGAAUCAUCGACCUUUCGAGUUACUGGUCCAACGCUUUAAACCACACAUUUCAUUAUAUUAUAGCACAGCAGUGGUAGUAUUAUUGCUGUUUUAAAGCUUGAGCUCCUACUGUAGAUGUAUUGCCUAAUAGCCAAGAUAAUUUGUAGAAUGUGCAACUCAAUGCAUUCAAUCCUGACCUUUCGUUUUCAAGUGUAUCUCCACAAACAUUAGCGGGCAGACAAGGCCACACAAAGACCUCAGACACCAGCGGAUA